rnacentral:rRNA from 1 species
AGCUAUGGCCAUAUCUCGCGUAAAGCAAGAUUUCCCGUCCGAUCAAUCAUAUUUAAGCCGCGAAGAGCCUUUUACAGUAAUACCGUGGGAGACCAGGUGUGAACAGGAGGUGUCAUAGCUC